rnacentral:rRNA from 1 species
AUCAACGCUGGCGGCGUGCCUAACACAUGCAAGUCGAACGCGAAAGUCCCCGCAAGGGAUUAAGUAGAGUGGCAAACGGGUGAGGAGUAACAGCGUGGGUGACCUGCCUUCGAGUGGGGGGAUAACGUUCCCGAAGAGGGACGCUAAUACCGCAUAACAUCCUGCCUUUUGAAUAGGUGGAAUCAAAGCCGGGGAGUCGCAAAGACCAUGCCUCUGAAGAGGGGCCCGCGUCCGAUUAGCUAGUUGGUGAGGUAAUGGCUCAGCCAAGGCAGACGAUCGGUAGCCGGCCUGAGAGGGCGGACGGCCCCACUGGGACUGAGGACACGGCCCAGAACUCCCUACGGGAGGCAGCAGUGGGGAAUUGUUCGCAAUGGGCGCAAGCCUGACGACGCAACGCCGCGUGGAGGAUGAAGAUCUUCGGGUCGUAAACUCCUGUUCGACCUGAGACGAACGGCUGCCGGGCCUAAUCAGCUCGUAGUAGUGACGGUACCGUUAAAGAAGCCCCGGCUAACUCCGUGCCAGCAGCCGCGGUAAUACGGGGGGGGCUAAGCGUUGUUCGGAAUUACUGGCGUUAAAGGGCUCGUAGGCGGCCAACUAAGGUCAGACGUGAAAUCCCUCGGCUUAACCUGGGGGAACUGCGGUCCUGAUACUGGAUGGCUUGGAUUUGGGAGAGGGAUGCGGAAUUCCAGGUGUAGCGGUGAAAGCGUAGAUAUCGGAGGAACCACCGGUGGCGAAGGCGGCAUCCUGGACCAACACGGACUGGCUGAGGAGCGAAAGCCAGGGGAGCAAACGGGAUUAGAUACCCCCGGUAGUCCUGGCCCCUAAACGAUAGAAUGCUUGGUUUGGCGGGGUAUCGAUCCCUGCCUUGCCGAAGCUAACGCAUUCAGCAUCUCCGCUCUUGCGGGGAGUACGGUCGCAAGGCUGAAACUCAAAGGAAUUGACGGGGGCCCGCACAAGCGGUUGGAGCAUGUGGUUCAAUUCGACGCAACGCGAAGAACCUUACCAGCGGCUUGAACAGCGAGUGACCACUCCCGAAAGGGGGCCUACGCAAGGACACUCGUAGAGGUGCUUGCAUGGCUGUCGUCGGCUCGUGUCGUGAGAUGUUGGGUUAAUAGUCCCGCAACGAGCGCAAACCCUUGUCUUCUGUUGCCAUCAGGUUAUGCUGGGCACUCUGAAGAGGACUGCCGGUGAUAAACCGGAGGAAGGUGGGGAUGACGUCAAGUCAGCAUGGCCUUUAUGUCUGGGGCUACACACGUGCUACAAUGGCCGGUACAAACCGUCGCGAUACCGUAAGGUGGAGCUAAUCGGAGAAAGCCGGUCUCAGUUCGGAUAGCAGGCUGCAACUCGCCUGCUUGAAGUUGGAAUCGCUAGUAAUCGCGGAUCAGCACGCCGCGGUGAAUACGUUCCCGGGCCUUGUACACAACCGUCCCGUCACAUCACGAAGCCGGUUGUACUAGAAGUCGCCAUAUCAACCCGCAAGGGGGAGAGGCGCCUAAGGUAUGGUCGGUGAUUGGGGUG